GUGGGGAAUCUUAGACAAUGGGGGCAACCCUGAUCUAGCCAUGCCGCGUGAGUGAUGAAGGCCUUAGGGUCGUAAAGCUCUUUCGCUGGGGAAGAUAAUGACGGUACCCAGUAAAGAAACCCCGGCUAACUCCGUGCCAGCAGCCGCGGUAAUACGGAGGGGGUUAGCGUUGUUCGGAAUUACUGGGCGUAAAGCGCGCGUAGGCGGAUUGGGAAGUUGGGGGUGAAAUCCCGGGGCUCAACCCUGGAAUGGCCUUCAAAACUCCCAGUCUUGAGGUCGAGAGAGGUGAGUGGAAUUCCGAGUGUAGAGGUGAAAUUCGUAGAUAUUCGGAGGAACACCAGUGGCGAAGGCAGCUCACUGGCUCGAUACUGACGCUGAGGUGCGAAAGCGUGGGGAGCAAACAGGAUUAGAUACCCCAGUAGUCC
rnacentral:rRNA from 1 species